UUGAUUGACUAGAGGCCUAAAGGCUGGUAUCACAUGAGUAUGGCUGACUGACGUUAGAAUCUGUCUGAUUGUGGAAGCUAAAGUUAAAACUAAGGAAUUAGUCAUGGAUCUCAGGAUGGAAUCAAGGAGCACAGAGAGUGUUUUCAGCGGACACAACAUCUUUGUUUGUAGUGCUGAGGAUCGAACCCGGGCCGCAUGCAUGCCAGGCAAGCGCGCUACCACUUGAGCCACAUCCCCAGCCCUUCCUCUUUCUUUUUGGUAAAUAAAACUAAUAUAUGCUCAAUUUAAACAA